GGGGAUGUAUUGGCUUCGACGGCGCGGAUCAGCGACGGAAAGCAGGUGAUAGGGUCGGCUAUCUAAAAACGCAAAAGGCUUUAAUUGCCAACAAAAACGAAAACGCCAAAGUCAUGAAGUUCGCAGCUCCGGUUGCGGCUCCGGCAAUGGCACUCGCGGCUUAGUAAUAGCUGCACGUUCGACUCUGUAUCCUAUCGGCAGAUGUUCGGGCGUAAUGUAGGUAGGCUCCCGCGCGGGGGAUUGGUCGCACCCCGAACGGAACAAAGACCUUGCGACGCACCGCCUUUGUAUAUUGCGGCGGUGCGUCGGACUCCAAGCAAUAAACUAAACCUGUAGAAGUCCGCGUAACCCCGCGUCGGAAACCGGUUCAAAUCCGGUCAUCUCCACCA
rnacentral:tmRNA from 1 species